GACGAAUCUAUUGCCUGCCAAGCCCGUGCAUUACCGUGCACGGGGGAGGGCAGCGAGAAGAGGAAUCU
rfam:Acidovorax sp. NO-1 contig87, whole genome shotgun sequence.